rnacentral:rRNA from 1 species
GUCAGCUCGUGUCGUGAGAUGUUGGUUAAGUCCCGCAACGAGCGCAACCCCUACGUUUAGUUGCUAACGCGUGAAGGCGAGCACUCUAGACGAACUGCCGUUGACAAAACGGAGGAAGGUGGGGAUGACGUCAAAUCAUCAUGCCCCUUAUGUUCUGGGCUACACACGUGCUACAAUGGCCGGUACAGACGGACGCAAAGCCGCGAGGCGGAGCAAAUCCGAAAAAGCCGGUCUCAGUUCGGAUUGCAGGCUGCAAUUCGCCUGCAUGAAGUCGGAAUCGCUAGUAAUCGCAGGUCAGCAUACUGCGGUGAAUACGUUCCCGGGCCUU